AGGACGAACGCUGGCGGCGUGCUUAACACAUGCAAGUCGAGCGGUAAGGCCUUUCGGGGUACACGAGCGGCGAACGGGUGAGUAACACGUGGGUGAUCUGCCCUGCACUCUGGGAUAAGCCUGGGAAACUGGGUCUAAUACCGGAUAUGACCUGCUCUCGCAUGGGGGUGGGUGGAAAGAUUUAUCGGUGCAGGAUGGGCCCGCGGCCUAUCAGCUUGUUGGUGGGGUAAUGGCCUACCGAGGCGACGACGGGUAGCCGACCUGAGAGGGUGACCGGCCACACUGGGACUGAGACACGGCCCAGACUCCUACGGGAGGCAGCAGUGGGGAAUAUUGCACAAUGGGCGAAAGCCUGAUGCAGCGACGCCGCGUGAGGAUGAAGGCCUUCGGGUUGUAAACCUCUUUCAGCAGGACGAAGCGCAAGUGACGGUACCUGCAGAAGAAGCACCGGCUAACUACGUGCCAGCAGCCGCGGU
rnacentral:rRNA from 1 species